rnacentral:lncRNA from 1 species
AUGGCCGGGAGUGAGAGGCUGGAGUGGGAGCAGAGCAGAGCCAGGGAGAAUCCCUGGAUUCCCCCAGAGAGAAUCCCUGGAUUCCCGCAGGGAGAAUCCCUGGAUUCCCGCAGAGAGAAUCCCUGGAUUCCCCCAGGGAGAAUCCCUGGAUUCCUGCAGGGAGAAUCCCUGGAUUCCCGCAGAGAGAAUCCCUGGAUUCCCCCAGAGAGAAUCCCUGGAUCCCUGCAGGGAGAAUCCCUGGAUUCCCCCAGGGAGAAUCCCUGGAUUCCUGCAGAGAGAAUCCCUGGAUCCCUGCAGGGAGAAUCCCUGGAUUCCUGCAGGGAGAAUCCCUGGAUUCCUGCAGGGAGAAUCCCUGGAUUCCCCCAGAGAGAAUCCCUGGAUUCCUGCAGGGAGAAUCCCUGGAUUCCUGCAGGGAGAAUCCCUGGAUUCCCGCAGGGAGAAUCCCUGGAUUCCCCCAGAGAGAAUCCCUGGAUUCCCGCAGGGAGAAUCCCUGGAUUCCCCCAGAGAGAAUCCCUGGAUUCCCGCAGAGAGAAUCCCUGGAUUCCCCCAGGGAGAAUCCCUGGAUUCCUGCAGAGAGAAUCCCUGGAUUCCCGCAGAGAGAAUCCCUGGAUUCCCCCAGAGAGAAUCCCUGGAUUCCUGCAGGGAGNNNNNNNNNNNNNNNNNNNNCUGGGAGCACUGGGAGCACUGGGAGCACUGGGGGCUGCUCUCCCCUCCUGCUCCCAGUGCUGGGAAUGGCCGGGAGUGAGAGAAUGGAGUGGGAGCAGAGCAGAGCCAGGGAGAAUCCCUGGAUCCCUCCAGGGAAAAUCCCUGGAUUCCUGCAGGGAGAAUCCCUGGAUUCCCCCAGAGAGAAUCCCUGGAUUCCCCCAGGGAGAAUCCCUGGAUUCCCCCAGGGAGAAUCCUUGGAUUCCUGCAGGGAGAAUCCCUGGAUUCCCCCAGGGAGAAUCCCUGGAUUCCUGCAGCGAGAGAAGGGCUGGAGAAGGGAUGGGGCUGUUCCUGGGCCUGGCAGAGGUGAUGGGUGAGGAUGUGGGAUCGCGACCAAACGGCUUCUCUGCAGCCACUGUUCCCGUUUCCCUGCGGAAACCAGCCUGGAUUCCAUCGGAAAGCGUUCCCAGUUCCCUCAGGAGCCGUUCCUGA